GAGACAGCAGUAGCCGCGGGAAUACAGAGGGUGCGAGCGUUAAUCGGAUUUACUGGGCGUAAAGCGUGCGUAGGCGGCUUCUUAAGUCGGAUGUGAAAUCCCUGAGCUUAACUUAGGAAUUGCAUUCGAUACUGGGAAGCUAGAGUAUGGGAGAGGAUGGUAGAAUUCCAGGUGUAGCGGUGAAAUGCGUAGAGAUCUGGAGGAAUACCGAUGGCGAAGGCAGCCAUCUGGCCUAAUACUGACGCUGAGGUACGAAAGCAUGGGGAGCAAACAGGAUUAGAUACCCGCGUAGUCCCUGUCUCUUAUAC
rnacentral:rRNA from 1 species